AUUGAACGCUGGCGGCAUGCCUUACACAUGCAAGUCGAACGGCAGCGCGGGGCAACCUGGCGGCGAGUGGCGAACGGGUGAGUAAUAUAUCGGAACGUACCCUGGAGUGGGGGAGUAACGUAGCGAAGUUACGCUAAUACCGCAUACGAUCUAAGGAUGAAAGUGGGGGACCGCCUUGGCGGCCUCAUGCUCCUGGAGCGGCCGAUAUCUGAUUAGCUAGUUGGUGAGGUAAAGGCUCACCAAGGCGACGAUCAGUAGCUGGUCUGAGAGGACGAUCAGCCACACUGGAACUGAGACACGGCCCAGACUCCUACGGGAGGCAGCAGUGGGGAAUAUUGGACAAUGGGCGAAAGCCUGAUCCAGCAAUGCCGCGUG
rnacentral:rRNA from 1 species